AUACGACCCCGCCCUGGAAACAUCCUUAAUCUCUUCCCACAAGCGAGGCUCGUCAUUUUCACAAGCUCGUCCCAGUUCAAUUCGGGUGGAUUCUAGCUCAUUGAGCUAGAAUGCAAUUUAUUUAAUUAAGUUUGCAUUUUAUUUUGCUGGAAUAAACUUAGUUAAUUAAAUAAGUUAGUUAAUUUCAUUAAGUUCAGCUCAACAUAAAUUAACUUGCAUUUUAAUGAGUCAAAUUCUGGACAUAUUAAUUGAGUUUAAAUGUGUCUUAGUUCAUACAUAGUUAUUAGCUAAUUUUAAUAUGUUAAGUCUUGGACAAAUUUAUUAGCUACUGAUAUUUAAUAUGUCCAGCCGAAAUUAGACAUUGGUUUAAUUAGCUGCUGCUAUUUAAUUUGUCCAGCUGAAUUAAUUGUGUCUUAACUUAAGUAAAUGUGUCUAAAUGUUAAUUAAUGUGUUUUACUUCUUUAAUUUAAUGCGUCUUGCUGCUGCAGAAUUUUAAUGUUUCUUGAAUUUUUUGUCCAGCCGAAAUUUAAAGAGCAUUUAAUUUUGCAGGAUUAAUUUCUUGCUGCCGAAUUUAAUGAGUCCACAAUGGAAUUAAUUUGUUGAUCCAAUUCAUGCAGGUACAAGUCAUGGACGGCAUUAAAGAGAAGGUUGCUGCAGCACCUUUUCAAGCUACCGAAUUUAAUAUGUUUGCUUGACAUGGGACAACAUUUAAGUUGCUGUUGCAUUUUUCUCUCCAUGCAAAGACUGGCACUAAAUGAACUGUUGACUUAGUUCUUUUCUAAACACCUUUUUUUCGUGCACAGCAAAGGAUACAUGAAUGUGGAGUUGUAUUCAAGAUGAAUUUAGGCUGCUGAUUGCUAUUCUCCAAGCACCUUUUCGUGGAGACAAAGAACUUGACUGUUCACAUUAAAUCUGGCCGCCCAUUCCAUUUUCCCAAGUAGAACAUGCAUUCAAUCAUGCAUGUAUUUUGAAGAUUGAAUUAAGGAGGCUGCUGGACAUGCAUUUGUUGAUCCAAUGAACACAUUUAAUGAAGAGCAUGAAUUCGGCUAUGCAUGUAUUUUGAAGCAAGAUGUGCAUGCAUGUGGCAACAACUAGGAGCUUUAAUUUCCAGCCUUAAUUUCAUUCAGCCGAACCUUGCUAUGGUAGUUUAAUGAUUUUUAUUUUUAUUUUUUUAUUUAUUUAUUUACUUAGUUUUUAAGUUAGAUAUUGACUAUUCAGCUAGCCUAAGCUUUGGCUAUAAAUAGUUGAUUAAUUUCAUUUGUAAAGGACUUUUGACUUUUGAUCAUUUGAAUGAACGUUGUUCAAAGAGUGAGUUUUCUCCUCUCUAAAUUCGUACGAGUUUCGAUCUGACUUAUCUAGCGUGCUAGUGGUGUCUAUCGUUCUCUUUUGAACUUAUCACCUUGCUUUGGUGUGGCGUUCAACCCUUCUACAAUUACGCAAUCCCACCUUGAACCGAAUAGAAAUCGGGGUGACACUUUUUAGUGUUGAAUCGUUUCUGGCGUUUAAGCUCAUUUAUCCAUUCCACCGACUAUCCUAGAUUUUACCCAACUAUAAUAUCUUUUUACAAAACCGAGCCUUCAUUUAUCAACUUCCAUUUUUCUUAUUUUUAUCCUUAAAUCGAGCCUACUACCCUUAUAAAUUUACCAUCACCUUAGCCAACCUUUAAAACCAUUUGAAAGCUUCUGCAUCUUUAGCCUUAUUUCAUCCUAUUUUCGAUAACUCAACUAUUCCUAGUCGACGAUCGGGCAAUUAUGUGAAACGACUCAAUUAAUUCGGGCCGGAUCACAUCAUUUGGUAUCAGAGCUACUAAAACGAGGAAUGCCGACGUUCGUACCAAGCUCGGAGUAGGUUCGUAACGUGAAAAAAAAAAUUAGGUUGUAAUUUUUUUUCUCUUCUUCCUUUGUAUUUCAGAAUAUUGUAAUUGAAAAAAAAAUCAAAAAAAAAGAGAAGAGGAAAUUUGAAAAAAAAAAUUCAAAAUUUUUUUUUUUUAAAGUAUAAAAAAAAAAGUGAAAAGUCUUGUGAGUUUUAUUUUGUUUCUUGUUGCUUCCAAGCAUCCAUUCAUUCUACCAUUCCCUCUACCCCCCAAAACGCCACACAUACUUUGAUUUUUAUUUUCUUUGUUUAGCCUACCCUACACCCGACGUUAUCCCUUGUAACCCAUUUGAAGCCGACCCUCUAAGCCGCAAUAAGUCUUCUUGAAACAAAAUACGAAUUCACGAGAGUGAGACGAGCGGAAAAAGGCACGAGUGGUGAGUACAUUAGAGCGAGCAAAAGCCAUUAAACAAGUGUAAACACGAGUGGAGUGUUAUCCAAUUUUCUUUGUGAGUGAAACGUGAGAUUUUUGUGGUGAGGUAUUUACUUUCUAUUUUAUUUUAAUCAUUUUUUUAGAAAAAAAAAAUCAUGUCACAAGAAUUUUCCGAAUCAGAUUUCCAAUAUUUGAAGCAAGAGAUACGUAGAAUGGUGAAAUCAAAUUUUGAUAAAUUGCAUGAUCGAUUGGAUCGAGUGGAGGAAAGAGCCAGACGAAAACAAAAUCUACCAAAUCGAGAAAUGGAGUCGAGAUCAUUGCGGCGAUACGCGUCCAAAGACUACUCGCUAAGAGAUUCUUAUCGGGAUUCCUAUUCGUCAAGGAAUUCAAGACGCGACAGCCUAGAGCUUGCAACUUCUCGACAUGACGAACGAGAGAGGACGAGUUAUUCAUCGUAUGAUUCAAAGAAGUCCUUCCCGGAGGAUUGUUCCCGAAGAAAUGGACGAGAAGCCUAUGAAAAUAUUUUCUCUUCCUUUGGGGCAAAUGAUUAUAUUUUUGAUUCUUUCGUGUCGACUGCACAUUGUAAUGAAAUCGAAAAAGUGAGAGAAAAAGAAAAUGAAGAGAAAGAAUUCAAAAAAGAAAUUGAGAUUGUACAAGAGUGCGAGCGAGAAAAAGAAAUCAAAAGAAAAGAAAAAGAGACAAAUGAACUAGAAAAAGUGAGGAGCAUUUCAACUAAUCCAUAUGAAACUUGUUCUUGUUCUGUUUCUGUUUUUCAGGUAUCCACAAGGCCGAGUGACGAUAAUUUACAACUCCAAUACCUUUCCAAGGAGAGAAGGUUCACCUUGGUUGAAAAAGGUAACGUUCUCAACUAUCUUAGUUCGCCUAUGCCAAAAGAGGAGCAAGGUAUGAGUUUUGAAAUUCUUAAAGCACCUCUAUUUUAUUCGAUUGUUGAUGGAAACCUUGUUGAUGAAUUGUCCUUUAGAAGUGAUCUGAACUUUGAUGUGGUUACUUGCCAUCCUUUGAUUGAUGAUAAUACAUUUGCGCGGAAUGAUGGCAAGAAGAAUAACGCUUUUGGAAAUUGCGAUGCUGAUGAGUUUGUUAGUAAAAUAAUAAUUAUUCGGCAUUUGCAAGAUAAAAAGACAUAUAAGCCAUUCCAUCGGCUUGAUUUGGGUAAAAAUAUGCACUCAUUGAUCUUUUGUGAGAAACUACUUUGUAUAAACAAGAAUGUGCGUAUGAGAUUUGAGACGUAUGAAUGCUUGAAAACAUGCAUGUCUUUGAUUUGUUUGUUUGAUAUGACGAUGACAUGUAAAAUGGUUAGUGCACUUAAAGUUGAAGAUGGUGCCUCAAAUCUGCUUUGUUAUCCAAAUUCUGCAUUUUUGAGCAAAAUUGAUCGACUGAAAUUUAGAUUACAUGAUCAUUUGGAUGAGUUCUCGAUGUAUUUUGAUUAUAAUUCCAAUUUGAUUAUGAUGCAUACUCUAUUGUCGAGUAUGGAGAUUCAAUUUGAAAAGGUUAAUUCAAGCAAGGAAUUUCGACUACUCUACAUCGCCGAGGAGCGAAGGUUUUUGUUAAGCGAGCGAGGUAAGAAUGAACUUUAUUUUCCUACUCCAAAAGGUAAGCUUCCUGAAAUUUCAAAAAAAAUUUGUUUUCCUCGGAUGGUAAUAACAAUCUUGUUCGUGAAUUAGUUUUUGAAAGAUACUUUGAUUGUGAUAUGGUUAAUUGUUUUGCCUCAAUUGAACAUGAUCUAUCUAUUUUUAUUGGUGACAAAAAGAUUCUUUUUUUUUGAUAAUUAUGUUGAUGUAAUUGUAAUAGAAUCGAUAGUCAAUCGAAUAAUGCACGGUUUGAUUGUGCAACUUCGAGAGCCAUGUAAAUAUUUUUCAUUACCUGUUUGUGAUGCCUAUGUACAUGUUUUGACUCAUUACUUGGGAUCCAAUUAUAGCUUGUGUAAUCAAUUUAAGAUGUAUGCAUGCUUAGAAAUCUAUUCGAUUUUGCUUCGAACAUUUCUCAUGGCCUUGUCGAGUAAACUAGUUCGCUUGCAUGGUAAUCUGAAUCUUUCCAAUAGCCUGCAUUACAUUUGUCUUGUUAUACUCGAAUUGCAAAUUUGUUUGCACUACUUUUUGCUAACUCAUGGAUAUUUUUUUCAGUUGCUUCAAUUGCCAUUCGUUCCAUUUGAUCGAGGAAAGAUGAGUAAGCGGAGUUAUGAUCGAAUGAACCAACGGCUCGACUUGAGGACAAGUCGUUCUAAAGAAGGGGGGAAUGAUACGACCCCGCCCUGGAAACAUCCUUAAUCUCUUCCCACAAGCGAGGCUCGUCAUUUUCACAAGCUCGUCCCAGUUCAAUUCGGGUGGAUUCUAGCUCAUUGAGCUAGAAUGCAAUUUAUUUAAUUAAGUUUGCAUUUUAUUUUGCUGGAAUAAACUUAGUUAAUUAAAUAAGUUAGUUAAUUUCAUUAGGUUCAGCUCAACAUAAAUUAACUUGCAUUUUAAUGAGUCAAAUUCUGGACAUAUUAAUUGAGUUUAAAUGUGUCUUAGUUCAUACAUAGUUAUUAGCUAAUUUUAAUAUGUUAAGUCUUGGACAAAUUUAUUAGCUACUAAUAUUUAAUAUGUCCAGCUGAAAUUAGACAUUGGUUUAAUUAGCUGCUGCUAUUUAAUUUGUCCAGCUGAAUUAAUUGUGUCUUAACUUAAGUAAAUGUGUCUAAAUGUUAAUUAAUGUGUUUUACUUCUUUAAUUUAAUGCGUCUUGCUGCUGCAGAAUUUUAAUGUUUCUUGAAUUUUUUGUCCAGUCGAAAUUUAAAGAGCAUUUAAUUUUGCAGGAUUAAUUUCUUGCUGCCGAAUUUAAUGAGUCCACAAUGGAAUUAAUUUGUUGAUCCAAUUCAUGCAGGUACAAGUCAUGGACGGCAUUAAAGAGAAGGUUGCUG
rnacentral:lncRNA from 1 species